rnacentral:lncRNA from 1 species
UUUAAACUACAGGCUGAGCUUGCUUUGUAUUUUAUACAGUUUGUGUCUAUGAAGAUAAAUUUAACUACCACGUCCGGCCAGUGGAUUAUAUUAGUCAGACAGUUCAUAGGUAGAUCUAUCAACAUGCAAGGAAAAAAACUCCUAUUUUUUUCUUUUCUAUUGCUUAAAGUUAAAACAAAUUAAUCCUUGCUGAAUAAGUGGAGGGUUCAAGAUCCAUUUAUUUCAACCCAAGGCACUGGUGCUUACUAUAUCGCUUUGUUGACUUGAGAAUUGGAUUUAUCAUAUCUCCUACAAAAAAAAUACUAUCAAUUCUUUAACAAAAAUCACACGUUCUAAAGAAAAAUUGAUUCAAAUAUAGCUUGAAAUGUAGGUAAAUCGUCUACUUAGAGAUAGAAAUUUCAGAAUUUAAACAAUUCAGUUGACAGCUCCUUGACUGAUUCAAGAUCCAGCUCUUAGACCUUUGAAACCAGUAGUAUGUGCAGAGGAAAGGAGCAAAGAUUAGGAAGAGUUGAAGAAUUCUAACCAACAUGCAAGAUCGUGGUCAAUGGCCAUCUGAGAUUUCUCUGUCUCCAGUGUAUAAAUAUUUUGUGUGCAAUCAUGUAUAUAUGGACUUUCUUCUUUACUUUAGAUGUGUAACGGGGUUUAUGGAGACUGACAUGCUGAUUUAUUAAGUUUCAGUGCUAGGCACCUUCCUUCCCAUCAGUAGUUGCUUCUGCCUUUGAAACGAGUAGAGGCUGCAAGAAUUUUAAAAAGAAAAAUAUGUGACGUUGAGUAAUUCUUGACAAGUUACUCGCACACCAUGCCUAGGGACAUCAACGAAAUUUUGAGAUAUUUGACCUGUCUAAAUAUUAAGUUUUAAAUGAUUCAGUUGAUCAUAC